CCUACGGGGCGCAGCAGUGGGGAAUAUUGGGCAAUGGGCGCAAGCCUGACCCAGCAACGCCGCGUGAAGGAAGAAGGCUUUCGGGUUGUAAACUUCUUUUGUCAGGGACGAAGCAAGUGACGGUACCUGACGAAUAAGCCACGGCUAACUACGUGCCAGCAGCCGCGGUAAUACGUAGGGGGCAAGCGUUAUCCGGAUUUACUGGGUGUAAAGGGCGUGUAGGCGGUACUGCAAGCCAGAUGUGAAAACCACGGGCGCAACCUGUGGCCGGCAUUUGAAACUGGAGUUCUUGAGUACUGGGGGGG
rnacentral:rRNA from 1 species